AGGAACUUGGCCGCGUGCUUAUACAUGCAAGUCGAGCGAACGGACGAGAAGCUUGCUUCUCUGAUGUUACCGGCGGACGGGUGAGUAACACGUGGAUAACCUACCUAUAAGACUGGGAUAACUUCGGGAAACCGGAGCUAAUACCGGAUAAUAUUUUGAACCGCAUGGUUCAAAAGUGAAAGACGGUCUUGCUGUCACUUAUAGAUGGAUCCGCGCUGCAUUAGCUAGUUGGUAAGGUAACGGCUUACCAAGGCAACGAUGCAUAACCGACCUGAGAAGGUAAUCGGCCACACUGGAACUGAUACACGGUCCAGACUCCUACGGGAGGCAACAGUAGGGAAUCUUCCGCAUGGGCGAAAGCCUGACGGAGCAACGCCGCGUGAGUGAUGAAGGUCUUCGGAUCUUAAAACUCUGAUAUUAGGGAAGAAAUAUGUGUAAAUAAAUGUGCACGUCUGGUAGGUACCUAAUCAGAAAGCCCGGCUAACUACAUGCCGUGGCGGCAUAAUACGUAGUUGGAAGC
rnacentral:rRNA from 1 species